GAAAAUCAGUCACUGAGCUAUCAAUAAUCAAAGAUCUUAAUACCGACUUGAUAGCUAAUUAUAACCACCAAAAUUAUUGUUAAUGGAGAGAGUUUUGUUCAAUUGCAUCAAGCUAAUCAUCCUACUUAUUCUUGUGAUAAUUGCUACAACAGGUCCGGUAUAUGCAAGAAUAUCGGAAACAACCAGUGGGCAGAGAGUCCAUAGCAUGAAAGCGACAGAGCCGGCCAAAGGAAGAGAUAGGGUUAACCAAGUGGUUCUAAACACAAAAGAAGGUGGCAUACUACAAGAUCAACUUGUAGACACUGAGAUGAAGAAAGAGGCAUGUAUACGAAAAGGCUAUCCUUGUGAACCCUACGCCAAGUGCUGUAAUUCAUGCGUUGUUGAUCCCAUCUACGGAUUUUUUAAAUGCUCCUGAUAACUUGAUGGUUCUAAUUUUCCAAGUCUCAUAAUCUCAUUAAUAGACCUUUGGCCUACUUAUGGUUUCCAUGUUCACGCGUCUUACUUUUUUGUACUAUAAGAUGACGCACGAAAGGGGUUCACAUUCGGGUGUACAAUAAAGUCUUGAAUUUAUUCUGUAUUAACAAUAAUGUAAACCCAAUAAAUAUUGUAUUAGACCAGGUUUCCAAGGUUCAUAUACGUCUUAUCAUGGAGGACACGGUCCCAAUCAAUCUUAUCAAUUUAUAGCUCGUAAACAUUUAAUAAAUAGGAAAAGCAUUGGCACAUAGCACCUAUGUGCUUAAAAAGUGUAUAGGAUGACAUUGGUUUUUUAGUGGUACAAUUCAAAGUACAAAACUUACGUA